AGAUGUGCCUCUAUUAAUAGCUACUAUGUAAAGAGGCCUACAAUUAGAGACUGUGACAUUUGGCAAACAUAUUUCAUUUCUAAUCCUCUCAAUACUGCAAAAUAUCUGCCGUCAUCUUUUUCUUCGGCAAGGCAACUGAGCUGCAGACGCAGAGACGCAGAUCUUUGUGAAGACCCUCACGGGCAAGACCAUCACUCUUGACGUCAAGCCAAGUGACACCAUUGAGAAUGUCAAAGCCAAAAUUCAAGACAAGGAGGUAUCCCACCUGACCAGCAGCAUCUGAUACUUGCUGGCAAACAGCUGGAGGAUGGCCGAACUCUCUCAGACUGCAACAUCUGGAAAGAGUCCACCCUGCACCUGGUGCUGCGCCUGUAAGGUGGCAUUAUUGAGCCUUCCCUCUGCCAGCUCUCCCAGAAAUACAACUGUGACAAGAUGAUCUGCCGCAAGUGCUAUGCUUGCCUGCACCCCCGUGCUGUCAACUGCUGCAAGAGGUGUGACCACACCAACAACCUGUAACCCAAGAAGGUCAAGGCUCUUCCUUCCUCGAACGGCAGCCUCCCUGGAGCCUCAAUAAAGUGUGUCUCUUUCGUUGACUGGAGCAGCAAAAACAAACAAACAAAAAAACAAUACUACAAAAUAUGUUAUAGCUCCAUUUUACAGAUGAGGAAGCUGAAGCCCAUAGAAAUACUGGUUUUGAGUUCUGGUGAGUGGAACUGCUCUUACUAUUGGCACCAUUCUUUUUUAUUUAUUUAUUUUUGAGAUGGAGUCUCACUCUGUUGCCCAGGCUGGAGUACAGUGGCACAAUCUCGGCUCACUGCAACCUCCAUCCUCCAGGUUCAAGCAAUUCUCCUGCCUCAGCCUCCAGAGUAGCUGGGAUUACAGGCGCCCGCCACCACACCUAGCUAAUUUUUUGUAUUUUUAGUAGAGAUGGGGUUUCACCAUGUUGGCCAGGCUGGUCUAGAACUCCUGACCUCCAGUGAUCCACCUGCCUCGGCCUCCCAAAGUGCUGAGAUUACAGGUGUGAGCCACCGCAUCUGGCUAUAACAUUCUAUAUAUUUUAUGAUUUAUUAUGCUUAUUGUCUACACACACACACACACACACACACGCACAAAUGUGAGCUCCAUGUAAGCUUCAUGUGUACAGCAAAUUUGGUUUUUGGUUUUUGGUUUUUUCUCAGAUAUCCCUAUGCCUACGUGAGUGUUUGGCCCCUGUAAACUCUCAGCACAUGUGUUAAAUGAGUAAAUGUACAGGUGGGGCAUACAUCUGCUCUUCUUAAGAUCUAAGAGCAUCUUAGGUGACAGCUGAGCAUGUGGCCAUAGUAACAAGAACAAAGUAGGAGUCAAGAAUCAUGGUGCCAGAGUUGAAAGUGUUAAAUAGUCAGCUUCAAGAAGGUCUUAAAAAUGUAUGCUUGGCAGACCUUGCUAAACAAUGAAUUUCUGUUCAUCUAUCUUGCAAGAAGAAAAAAUUAUUGGUUUAUUUAAUCCACAAAUAUUUUUUUAGUGACGUCUUUGUUGCCAUGCACUUUUUCCACUCCUCAUUUCAUCCCAACUGCUAGAAGAGGAAUGUAGCAAAGAUCUGAAUUAUUAAAUUUAUCACUCAGUUGCCCACUUAAUUCAACCUCAGCCAAAGUUCAUUCAAGAAGAUAAUGUGUUAAAAUUGCUUUUGUGCAACCAGAGAUGGCUAUAAAGUGUUCCAAGGUGCUGAAAGGUAAAUUGUAUUCUUGAAUAUUUUAAAUA
rnacentral:lncRNA from 1 species